UCUGUUCUAUCAAGGCUUUCACCAUUUGAUAGGUUUCAAAGAGGUCACCCCCUCAUUCUUCUGAUUUACAAUGAGCGGAAGCCCAGUGCCAUCAAAAGCUCCUCAUAUGAUCAGUCUUUCAAUCCCAGAAUAAUUUUCAUGAUCCUCUCCAAUGUCAGCACAUCCUUUCUUAGAUACGGGACCUCAAACUGCUCACAUAACUCCAAAUGAGGCCUCAACAGUGCUUUAAAAGACCUCAACAUUACAUCCUUCCUUUUAUAUUCUAGUCCUCUUGAAAUAAAUGCCAUCAUUACAUUUGCCCCCCUGACCACUGACUUAACCUGCAAAUUAACCCUUAGGGAAAUCCUGCAUGAGGACUCCCAAGUCUCCUUGCGACUUAGGUUUUGAAUUUUCUCCCUGUUUAUAAAAUAGUCUAUGUUUUUAUUUCUUCUACCAAAGUGCAUGGCUAUAUACUUCCUGGCAGUGUAUUCCAUCUGUCACUUUCUCGAGAUUCCAGCAUCCACGGUCUCUUUUGACUGUAUUUUUAAACUCCCCUCUGAAGUCUAGACCUCAAUAGGGACAUACUUCAAAGUUGCCAUACUGUCAGUGAUGGUGCCAGUAUAAAUUUGCCAAUGACGCCACUGUUGUUGGCACAAUCUCAAAUGGCAGUGAGGAGGCAUACAGGAGUGAGAUAGACUGGCUGGUUGAGUGGUGUCUCAACAACAGCAUCAUACUCAACAUCAGAAAGACCAAGCAACAGAUAGUGGACUUCAGGAAGGGGAAGCCAGGGGAUCAUGCACCGGUCCUCAUUGAGAGGUCAGCACCGGAAAGGGUGGCUGUGGACAGUAAGAAUUUCCAGCUGUAUACUGUAUACAUUCUCAGAUAUUAAAUGGAGCCAUUGAACAUUCUGAGGCCAAAUCUGGAGCACCGUGUGCAGUUCUGGUCAUCUACCCACAGAACAAAUAACAAUAAGAUUGAAAUAGUACAGAGAAAAUUUACAAGAGUGUUGCUGGGACUUGAGACCAUUAGUUGUUGGGAAAGAGACUGCAGAGGUUGCAAUUACCCAGUCAGUGCCAGCACUGCAACAUCGGCGGGAGGGUGCCACGGGCAACCAAACAGGCCGUUCUGCCCAUCGGACCCGGACUAACCUGCAUCUGCCUUUCAGCGCUGUGCACCCAUCAGUAUACCUGUUUCUACCCGGGAAGGACCGUCUGUGAGAGUGGCAAUUCUAGAGCCUCGCCACACUCCGGGUGAAAUUAUAAUUCUGAUCUCUUUAUUAAUCCUACAAGAGACUGUCAGUUCCGCUGCAUCGCUACAAUGUAGAGGUCUUUAAAUUAAUUUCAUGCAUACUGGUUUACUUUGCAAAGUUUAUUUUAAUUGUAUAGAGGGAGAUGAUCUUGCAGUUAAAAGCCCUGGUACAUUAAAGGAGGGUAAAAUUGCUCUUUUCCUCUAUCUUCCCCUAAUCUGUUCCAAUUAACACCCCGGAGACCUUUCGAUUCCCCCCACGUAGUGCGGGUCUGACGCACAGAGAGUUUUGCAGUGGUUGAGUCACUCGCGUCAGGAGACAGUGCAUCUCCCAAAUAUAACCCGCGAUGACGGGUCCUGCAUAGCGAUGACUCCGUCCUUUAAACCUCAUUACCUCUGCUAGAGUUCCGGUCUGUAUGGAGGCGGAUCAGUUCUGCCUGUCUCUGGCCUCUGGUAAUGUGCUGGUCACCGGGACAGAACGGCGGAAUAUCAACGGAGCUUUCUCUCUCCCUCUCCCCCUCCUCUCCUCUCCUCUCUCCUCUCUCCCUCUCUCUCUCCUCUCUCUCUCUCUCCCUCCCUCUCUCUCUCUCUCCUCUCUCUCUCUCUCUCACCCUCUCCCUCUCUCCUUCCCUCCCACUCUGUCUGUAUCCCUCUUGCUCUCUAUUUCGCAAUCUCUACUUCACUAUCCAUCUCUAUAUCCCACUAUCACGACCUCACUAUCUCCAUCUCCAUUUCCACCGCUCACCCACCCCACCUUACGUCUGUCUCUCACCUCUAUCUUCUGUCUUUCUCCUCUCGUCUCCCUAUCUCUUCCUUGCUUCCAUGCCCAACUAAUCCAUCUCUUUCCAACCGCCUAAUCCACCUGUUAACUGGAAAUCUGAAACGAAUCUGCAGACAUUGGAAAUCUGAAAUCAAAACAGAAAAUGCUCCAACACUCAGCAGGUCAGGCAGCGGACUCUUUCCAAAGGAUUUUGGAUUUAAUCCAUCAGUAUCCAAGACCCAUCUAGGAAUUUCAUUGAUGCACUAUGUCUGUCCACCCAUGCCUCUGUCUGUCUAUGUAUGUAUCUGUCAUUCUGUCUAUCCAUGCGUCUGUCUUCUGUCUAUCUAUCUAUCCAUCUGUCUGUCUGUCUAACCAUGUGUCUGUCUGUCUGUCCAUCUGUCUAUCUGUCCAUUUGUCUGUGAAUGCUUUUCUAUCUAUAUCUGUCUGUCCAUUUGCCUAUCUAUUUAUCUAUCUACUGUAUAACGAUCUAACUAUAUUGCCCUUUCUCACUCAUAAUUCUCUCUAUUAGUUUAGCUAUCUAGCUCUAUUUAAUCAUAUAAUGUACCAGGGCAGUAUGGCACAGAAACCAUGCCGGCCACAGUGCAGCCACCACCCACCAGCAUCCCAAUUUCUUGUGUAUAGCUUGUAUUCCUGCAAGCCCUGCCCCUCCAUAUUCUUAAGCUCUGUACGCUCAUCAAUCCACCUAACUGUAAACAUGAGAAACUCUGCAGAUGCUGGAAAUCCAAAGCAACACACACUAAGUUGCAGGAGGAACUCAGCAGGUCAGGCGCCAUCUAGGGAAAUGAAGAGACAGUCGACGUUUUGGGCCGAGAUCCUUCUUCAGGUCUGGAAAGGAAGGGGGAAAAUGCUGGAAUAAAAUGGUGGGGGGAGAAGAAGGAAGAUGGUUAGAAGGUGAUAGGUGAGGCCAGGUAGGUGGGAAUCCACUCUGAGUGUGGCCUCAUCUUGGCAUAUCUUGACCGACAUGGUGGAACGGGAAUGGGGAUAGGAAUUAUAAUGUUUGGCCACCAGGAAGUUUGCUUUUGGCGGAUGGAAAGGAGGUGCUUGAUGAAGCGGUCCCCCAUUUACAACGGGCCUUAUCAAUGUAGAAGAGGCCGUAUCAGAAGCACUAGGCACAAUAGGCGAAAGCUGCAGAUUUGCAGGUGAACAUUUGCCUCUUUUGGAAGGACUGUUUGGGGCCCCGAAUGGAGGUGAGGGAGGACGUGAACGGGCAGGUAUAGACUAAAUGCAGGGAGGGAGAUUAGUGGUGAGGGAUGAAUGAAAUCGCAGAGAGCGCGAUCCCCGUUGAAUGCAGAGGGGGAGGUAAAGAUACGUUCAGUGGUAUGAUCCCUUUGGAGAUGGUAGAAGUAGUAGAGGAUGACGUGUGGGAUGUGGAAGUGCAUGGGGUGGUAGGUAAGGACUAGAGGAACUCUAUCAAUGUUACUGAAAAGGUAAAAUCAGCUGAGGGCAGGUAUCUAUAACUAUCUAUCUGGCUGCAUAUAUAGCCAACCCGCUUUACUAAGUAUCACACAAAUGGAGGAACUCAGCAGGUCAGGCAGCAUCCGUGGAGGGAAAUGGACAGUCAACAUUUUGGGUCAAGACCCUUUAUACUGUCCAGCUUCCUUAUGCUUAUUACUUCCCGGUAACUUGGUCCCAUUCACAUACCAAUCAAACUCCUACUGAAAUACACUACUCCUGAAUUCAUCAUCAUACAUUAUAUGCCAUAGGCGAUCAUAGUCUAUGACCAUGACUGUUCUUGGCAAAUUUUUCUGCAGAAGUGGUUUCCUGUUGCCUUCUUCUGGGCAGUGUCUUUACAGGACGGGUGGCCCCAGCCAUUAUCAAUAACCUUCAGAGACUGUCUGCCUGGCGUCAGUGGUCGCACAACCAGGACUUGUGAUGAGCACUGGCUUGCUCAUACGACCAUCCACCACCUGCUCCCGUGGCUUCACAUGACCCUGAACCGUUGGGGGGGGGGGGGGUGGGGGAUGGUCUAACCAGGUGACCUGCAGGCAAGUGGAGGAAAUUUUACACCUCCUUUGAUUAAGACGUAUUUCCACUCAACCACCCAAGUUCUGAAUUACCAGAGUCAAUUAAAAGAGCAACAAAUUUUAGAAUGUGGAAGGAAACAUGGAAGGAAACCCACACGGGACAAAUUCAUGAUUGCUCUGCCAUUUAAUGCAAAGGUUUAACAGUGCUAUUGUAUUGUACUACCCCUCCCCUCUAUUUUUAAUGGAAUAACAGAGAUAUAUUAAGGAUAAACAUUUGUUAUUUCGUUAUUUUUUGGGGACGUGAGGAAGGCCAGCAUGUAUUGCCUUAAGACCAUAAAACAUAGGAGCAGAAUUAGGCCAUUCGGCUCAUCGAGUCUGCUCCGCCAUUCCAUCAUGCCUGACACACCUGUACACCUGCUCGUUAAUCAAAUAUCUAAUCCCUGGACAGAGGACUGGGGAGCUGCUAUUGGUGGACUAUGCCCCAGUAGCAUUGAUUGGCUUAAGACGAAGAAGAAGAAGAAACAAAUCUUGAACCAGCAGUGCUGUAGGCAGUUAAUUAAAACCAGUCCAUUUAAUGGUCAGGGCAAUACUGGAAAUGAGGCCCCAAACAGUCCUUCACCUGAAAAUUUUUGGCGUUGUCUAUUUUAUCUGUUGCUCUCAAUACAGCUAUAUUGGUAACACGCAUCGCAUAGUGGGAGUCCUUCCCACCUUCUUAUUCUGGCUUUUUUCCCCUUCCUUUCCAUUCCAGAAGCCUUGAUUGUUUAUUCCUCUCCAUAAAUGCUACCUGAGCUGCUGAGCUCCUCCAGCAAUUUUGUACGUGAUGCUCCUGGAUUUCCAGCAUCUGCCAAAUCUUUUGAGUUUUAUUCUGACUGCUGCCUACAUUCAUUUCCAAUUCAGCAAAAAAACAAUUAUUUUUCAAUGCAUCAAAAUUCCUUUUGAGUCAUCCCAUAAGAUCAUAAUGGAAAUUCAGAGACAUGUCUUUACUGAUGCAGUGGUUCAAAGCGUGGGUAGCUAUUAACUUCCCAUCAGCUCAUGGCUUCUGCUUCUUGCAUGUCUAUAGCACCAACCAGACAUCCUCAAGGGUGGCAUGGUAAUGUAGUGGUUAGCACCACGCUUUACAGUACCAGUAACCCUGGCUUCAAUUCCCACCACUGCCUGCUAGGGAUUUGUACUUUCUCCCCAUGACCACGUGGGUUUCCUUUGGGUGCUCUGGUUUCCUCCAAAGAUGUACCAGUUGGUAGGUUAAUUGGUCAUUGUCAAUUGUCCCAUGAUUAGGCUAGAGUUAAAUCAGGGUAUUGCUGGUGAUGCAGCUCGAGGUGCUAGGAGAGCCUAUUCCAUACUGUAUCUCAAUGAAUAAAUAAAUCCUUCACGAGCAGGGAAGCAAGGCUCUACAAUGUUGCAUACACUUCCUGACACCAGUGUUUUCCAGUAUUCCAUCAUUGGACGUGAGUGUGUAUCAGAGACAAGGUGACCACUUAUCCUGGGCCACUGAACUUUGUCCUGGUCCAGAUAUGUGGAUGCUCUGGCCAAGAAGCCAUCGUAGGGUAAUGUAAUGGGUGGAAACAUGCAUAAUUGAAUUGACUUUAUUACUUACAUCCUUCAAAUACAUGAAGAGUAAAAAUCUUUGCGUUCCGUCUCCAUUCAAACAUGCAAUAUGCAAUUAUAGUCAUUUAUAAUAAAUAUUACGUACAACAGGACAGUUAAUAUAACAUGGAAAUACAGUAGCAUCAGCAUGAAUUAAUCAGUCUGGUGGCCUGGUGGAAGAAGCUGUCCCGGAGCCUGUUGGCUUUUAUGCUGUGGUACCGUUUCCCAGAUGGUAGCAGCUGGAACAGUUUGUGAUUGGGGUGACUUGGGGUUCCAAUGAUCCUUUGGGCCCUUUUUACACACCUGUCUUUGCAAAUGUCCUGUAUAGUGGGAAGUUCAAAGUAUGUAUGCAGUAUACAACCCUGAGAUUCAUCCUUCUACACACAGCCACAAUAAAAAGAAAACCAUUCAAACAAAAACAUCAAGCCCCCGACAGGCAAUAAAAAGAACAAAUCCUGCAAAUGGCAAAGAGAGUGAAAAGCACAGAAUACAAAACACCAAAUCACAAAGACAUCGAUCAAGAUAUAUUCAGUUCAGCUCGGUUGUUCAAUCCAGCAUCAUGUUUCUCGCUAUCUGCAGGUUGCACCGCUAAUCCGCCCUGAUCAAAAUCACACAAAACAGCAACGAGGAAAGGAGUGACCAGAGACCAGAAACACAUCAUAAUGUGAACUACAGAGUCCCAUCCACAAACCGUGUGGAUUAAACCUUGACCAAAACCCAUGGUCUCAGAACUAGA